CUUGUCCCUCUUACUUAGCCUCCCAACAUUGGAUGUAACUGAUUUCUCUAUAUAUCAAGAAACACUUGCUUCUCCUGAUUUCCAGGACAGUGCAUGUUUCUGGUUUUCUUCCUCCUUAGUGAUUGUUACUUCUUGGUUUCCUUUGCUGGCUUCUUCUCCUCUACUCUACCUUUCUGUGUUGGAGUGCCCCAGCCCUCAGCCUUGGAUCCUCACCUCUUUUUCUCUAUAUAUUCUCUCUUUAGUUAUUUCAUCCAUUCCCCUGGUUUUAGAUCCUAGCUAUAUGCUGAUGUUUCUCAAAGUUAUAACUUCAGCCCUGACCCCUUCCUUGAGCUCCAAAUUCAUCUAUCCCAUGGCUUACAUGGCGUCUUUGUUUGGGUAUCUCAUAGGCAUUUUGAAACUAGCGUGUUCAAAACAUUGCUCCUGAUUCCCACCCCCACCUCCAACCUGUUUUUCCUCUGAGAUUUCCCAUAUGGCUUCUGGAUCUACCUGUUUACUUGAGCCAAAAACUUAGUAAUUAUUCUUUCUCUUUUUUUCUGUCCCCCUCCUUUCCUUCCACCACCCACAUAUCUGAUUUUGCUCUGAGGAUGUGUCCUGAGCAGUCUGAACCAAUCACAAUAGCCUAUACUCCUUGCUUGUGACUAGAACUAGAAGGGAUUAGUUUAGGUAUAUCAUGUGACUUAAUUCAGGUCAAUGAUACUAUGAGGUAAAGGUUUCUGGGGCUUCCAGGGGAACAUUUCCCUUUUGAAAAUGUCAGUCAGGAAACAUGUAGCUCACAUUUCCACUUUCCAGCACCCUAUGAUCACACUCAAAAAGAAUCAGCCUUAGGAUGAAGCUGACCUUCUGGAUGGCAGAAGGAAGAGGAAAGAACCUGGAUUGUAUAUGACGUAGUUGGUUGACUAGAUCACACAACGCUGAAACCCACCCUGCACCUGGAUUUCCAGUUCUGUGAGACCGUAUCCUUACUAUUUAAGCCACUUUGAAUUGGAUUAUCUAUUUCUUGCAGUUGAAAGCAAAUUUAUAGAUGCAAAGAGAAAGGCAGGUCCCCUGUGGAGAGUCGUGAAAUUCCUGAUGGCUGGGAACCUUCUUAGAUUCAGUUCCAGUUUCCAUGAGACCCUAUGAUUCCUAUUCUUGGAUUUCUAUAAGAUUCCUGGCUCUCCUAUAGCCCUCGCAGCAUACCUGAGCUGGCCUGACAGUUUCUUGUAACUAAAAGGAUAUAACUAAAAUGGGAGGUAAAAGAACUCAGCCCAUUGAGUACUUGACCCAUGUUACUUUCUCAACCCCUAUGUGUUUGUUUAUAUUAACUUUGUUUCUAAAGGAUUUAAGGCUUCUCUCAGUAAAUCUAGAGUCUUCUCUCCACAAAUGUCCAAUGAAUCUCAAGAAUCUUUGGAAAAACAAGUUCUUUGGAACCAAAAUGUUUAAGAAAAAUAGGGACUUCAGGGGAUCUAUCUUUCCGAUCUAAAUUCUUUCCUGAGCCUGUCUCCUCACCUCCCUCCUCUGCAGGAAGCUGACAUGUCAGCCAUCCGCGGGAAGCUGCUCUGGACCUUUGAGAGAAAGGCUCCAUUUAGAUUUAGCAAAACCCUUUCAUUCAGAGUCCUUGCAGAGAAGCACAGCAUAAAUGAGUGUAAGGCCUAAAUUAGAUAAUUUUUAAAAGAACAGUAGCUUCAUUAUGUUCAAGUACACAGAGUAACUCCAUCUCCGCCAUGAUGUUCCUUUGUAGAAGCCCUUCGGGACUUUCCUUAAUGAGUAGAUUAUAAUUAUUGGUAAUCAGCAUAAUGUUCUCUGCAAAGCGUGCUUCGAAAGCAGUUGAGCAUAUUAAGUGAUUUUGAUGUUCUGGGGGCAAUUUUGUUUAAAACAUUAAUCUUUUCAGUGUAUACCCUUUAUAGCCGUAACCCUCUGUUGUUUAAAAAGAAUUCUGAAGGCUCCCUCCAUCCUACAACAUUUGAUUAGCAGAGGCAGAAAUAAUGCAGGAGGAGAGGGAGGCAUAGUAGGACUCAGAUUCUUUACCUACGGGUGCCUGACAGGAUUGUGGGAACAGCUCAGGCUUGCAAACGAGGCCCGGUGCAAAGCCUGGCUCUGUCACCCACUAGCUAGGAUAAUAAGAACUUUACUGUCUCAGUUUCUCCUCUGUAAAAUGGGGAUAAUUUCUACUCUGCAGGGUUGAUUUGAACACUAAGUGACUAUUAAUUAAAGCUCUUAAUCCAGUAAGUACUUGAGAAAAGCUGGCCCCUUCUCCUCUAGGUCUCUUGGCCUGUGCCGGAGGCUCUCUUACCUCUUUAGUGUCACAGAGACUACAACCAGCCCUGGUAGUACCUCUUCAUUCUCUGCUGACCAAGCAGCAAAAGCUGGCCCCUUCUCCAGGCAAGCCCCUGCUUACCCACUGGAGACCAGUGGCGUCCCAGGUGGUGCUGUUCUGCUGCCAUAGUCUCUGUCCUCUCAUACCCGGGUCUGAGUAGACUAGAACAUUCCUAACCCUCUUUGCAGCCAAACGCGUUGGCUAAAAGGAGCUUUGUUUGCUGAGAGUUUGUUAUUGUUGAUUAUGAACAUUUAUUAAGAGCUUCCUAUGGGCCAGAAGCUAUGCUAAGCACCUUAGGUAGGAAGAUACUUCCGUCAGCUCAUCAAUUCUGAGAUGCAUUUUUCAAAAUUGUAGUGUAUCUAAAAUUGGCGUCAGUGUCAGCCACGCAGCAGUUGUGACAUCACUGCUGUCAUCGCUUGUGCAUGUGCAAAUUGAACACGCUCUUCACAUUGUCAUCAUUUCUGUUGAGCAAUAUGCACUGUUGAUACCACGUUAAAUGUACAUGCUGUUUACGAUGUCUUCGAAAAGAUUAUACUAUGGUUCAGUAUUGUAAUGAAAGGUUAUUUUGUACUUAGAAAGGCAAAGAAGCAGAGUGGGGGUUAAUUUUGGUAUGAGUGAAGCAAACGUUUGCCACUGGAGGAAUGAACAUGAGGCCAUAUUGUUUGCAAAGCAGCAACCAAGUGCUUUUCAGAACUAGGAAAGCAAGACCCUCACUAGUAAAUGAAGUUUUACCAACAUGCUGAAGUUCGUGCAAAAGGAUUGCCUAUCAAACCCCAAACGAGACCAAUGAAUGAAGAGGAAAUUGUCGCAUCCCUUGGCAUAGAUGGAAGAGAUUUUAAUGCAGUGAGAGGCCUAGUGUGACCAAUGCGGAGCACAGGACUAAUCGUGAAGGUGGGAACCAGUUGGCCAGGGACUCCAUGCUGACUUCGAACAGAAGCUGAUUAACUUCCAGGGAGAUGUGAUUCAAUACAGGAAAAAAAUGGAACUCGAAUUGAAGUCCAAAUGGAAAUGCUGAUGCAACUGGGUGCUCUUCAACGUGCCUCAGGGCCAGCCCCUGCGGCCCAGCGGUUAAGUUCAGCGUGCUCAGCUUCGCUGGCCUGGCUUCAGUUCCUGGACACGGACCUACACUGCUCUAUUAGUGGCCAUGCUAUACUGCUGGCCCACAUCGUAAAAAGUAGAGGAAGAUUGGCACCGAUAUUAGUUCAGAGUGAAUCUUCCUCAGCAAAACAAUACAAAACAAAACAACCCCCACCAAAACAUGCCUCAAAUGCCUCUGAAUCUAGAAAAGGUGUAAAGUGCUUUUUGGAUAAGUAUAUGUUUUAAGGAUACUGGGAUUUGUUUUAACUGGACAUGGUAAGACACAGACAAGGAAAUGAGUGUCAUGAAGAAAGAAGUUUGUUGUACUCACCAGUCUCGAGCAGUAGGAGGCACAGCAAGCCACGCAGGGCCACGCGAGAAAGCACCUGGGUCAAUGCAGAGGCAGAGGGAGUGAGGGCAAGUGUGGGAAGAGCCUUUAUUGUGGUCUCUACAAGGAGCAGGGAGGGCAGGGGGCAUAGGCUUGGGACUGGCUAAUUUCAAUAAUUUUGGUGGGCUCUGAGACAUAGGGGCUGUCCCUACUUGUCUGAUACCUGGCUCUCGGGGGAUUAGGGCAACUGGAUAGUGGCCCAGAGUGUGAGACUCCCAUAAAGGAGGUGGGUGGGGUGUUGGCUCUGGAUUGGCUUGUUGCACAUGAAGGUGCCCUCCCAGGCGAGCUGUUUGCCGUCUCUAGGAAUUAGUUAACCCUGGGAGGGGCUAGUCCCUACAGGCUCAGCAAGGCCCCAGGAUGUCAAAGCAACAGAAAGUAAAAGGCAUGGCUAAUACAAUAUAAAAUAGUAAUUCCAAGUAAAAAAAAGCAUUGUCAUGGUUUAAUUAUCUGGGUUCUUUUUCGUUAGUGACACGUUGUGGUAGCCAGCCUCCAAGAUGGCUCACAACGAUCCCACCUCCUAGGUUCGUGCUCUUAUGUAUCAGGAUUGGUGUCUGUGACCAAUGAAACACAGUGGAAGUGAUGGUGUGUCAUGUUCAAGGCUAGGUUAUCGAAGACAUUUUAAGGCUGGGCUUCUGCACCCACCUUGCUCCCUUCCUUGAAUCAUUCACCUAGGGGAAACCAGCUGCCAUGUCGUAAAGACGCUUAGAUGACCUUCUGGAGAGACCUGUUUAGUGAGGAACUGAGGCUUCCUGCCAAUGGCCAUGUGAGUGAGAGUUUGGAAUGGGAUCUUCCAGGCCUGCCCAGGAUCACUGCAGCCUCAUGAGAAGCCCUGAGGGAGGACCACCCAGGCAAGCCGCGCCCAGAUUCUCGACUCUCAGAAAUUGCAAAGAUGCCUUGCUGUCUCUCUGGCUCAGCCUUCCCACCAUCACUAAAGCUGCCAGUUAACCAGUCUUUGAGUGUGGCUUCAGGAAGACAGAGCUACGUGUUGGACUGCUUCUUUGUGGAGCCCACUGCUUCUCCAUGUAACGUUUCAGCACUCUGCAGAGAGCACUUACAGCGCCCUGGAGCAGCUGUCCGAAACCGCGUUCGCUCUGGCGGCGGAAGCCGGUUCCAGCUCUUCUCCAUUCCAUUCGCUUCCUGAGACCAGAGAUCUGGUCUCCAGCCACUGGUUCUCUUCCAGGCUUAGAAAUCAACUUCCCGGGAGUGGAAGAAGAGACUGUCUCUUAGCUUUAAUUAAUUGUUGAAAGAAUAGAGAGGAGUCUAUAGUUCUAGAAGGAAAAAAGGGAGGAAUGGAAAUUUUCUGGACAGGGGACAAAGAAGUAAAAGAAAGAUAAUUUUCCAACUCACUCUCUUCACCCUAGUCUUUAAAAGGUUUUGUUGGGUGUUAUGAGGUUUGAAAUCUAUCUUUAGGGAGGGAUGUGUUACUCAAAAGAAAUUGCCUCUAGAUUGUUUUCCCAAGUCAGUCAUUUAAAAAAUAUUUUAAUGUCAUUCUGCUUAAAUUUUUUAAACAGUGAAGUUUACCUGCAAAGUACUUCUCAACUCAGGGUAGGAUAGGGGUAAAUUUGAGGUAGUAAGUGUGUUAGAAUCUUGAGGUAGGUUUCCUUUGAAAAAAACAAGUAGGUAUCAUUUUUAUUGGGAAAAUGAAAAAAUGCGUAAGUUUUCACAUUACAAACUGAGGAGAGUUUGAAAAAAAAUCUGAUGAGGUUAUGCAGAAGACACAGGGAUUCAUGAUUGGGACACAUCCCUUCAAAACCUUGGAGGAACAGGAGAUUUUCCUGGUUAUCAAAUAGGGGGAUGAGUUUUAGAAGGCUGAAAAGCAUUUAGAAGAAUGUUGCGUUUCCUAAAAAGGCAGAAUGAGGAAGCUGGUAGACGAUUCCAGAACAUUCUGUGGGUCUCAUGAAGAGAAGAUUCAGGGAAGGGCAGGCAGCAAGUCCAAGGUCAGGAAAGAUGAGAGACACAAAAUGGACCUGUAACUGCAAAGGUUCCAUUGUCUUCUGAGUUUCUGUUUAUAAUUUUGCAGUGAGUAAUUUUAAGAAGGAAAAAAUCCCCAUAGAACUGAACACAUGCAGAUGAAAACUUAUGAAUGGCAAAAAGAUAUCAAAACAAAAUCAAAUAACACAUGUAUCAAAGGAAUGAUUUCCUUAGUAGAAAACAUUUUUAAAAUUAUAUAUAAUUUUGAUAUUUUUGUUCAUCAAAAGAUGAACAACCCCAAAGAAAAAAUGGGCAAAGAAUGUUAUUAGCAGGAUGUUCAAAGAAAAAAUAAAUACACAUGGUCAACAACUAUAGGAAACAUGCUUAUAAGAUUUACUUUUCACCCAUCAGAUUAGCUAAGGUUAAAAAUGUUCAUUGACCCAGGGUUGUCAAGAAUGUGGGGUGCUCUCACCCGCUGUAGGUGGGAGAGUGAGUUACCAGAUUUCUUGAAAGACAAACAGCAAUGUCUUAGUAAAUAUGCAUAUCUUUUAACCCAGUUAAAUUCUAUGGAUCAAGGCAAAACAUUUGCGUAUGUGAGCAAAGCAUGUGUACGAGGCUAUUUCACUGCAGCUUUUUGAUUAUGAAAAAGUGGAAACUACUAAAUGUGCAUCAAUAGAGGACUAAAUAAAUUAUAAAUGUCCACUAAAUGGGCUCUGAUAUAACUGUUGAAAAUAACGCGCCAGAUCCAUAUGUAUUGAUUUGGAAAACUCUCUGAGACAGACUAAUUGAACAACUGUUUAGUGGGAUGCUAUAUUUUGUAAAAAACUAAACUGAAAUCUAUACUGAAGUUGAAGUCAAUAUAGAUGUAAAUACUUACUCGCUCGUAGCGUCAGAGAACACUUUGAAAGCAUACGGAAGGUGCUAUCAAGGAUGGCUGCCUCUGGGGGGCCCGGGAGGGAGGGAAGGUGAACAUUUACUCUUUAGCUCGUUCCCUUUGUCUCUGUAAGUCUUUCGCUGUGAG
rnacentral:lncRNA from 1 species